GGGGCUGCUGCAUGUCCAAUACAGGAAAGACACAUAUUGAAAGACAGCAAGGUAAGCGGAGAAUGGAUAAAAACCCAUUAUAUCUAUAAUGCUUGUUAUUCACUCUUCUUUGCACUGUACCCAGGUGAACAAGAGUUUCUCAUCUGGGGCCACAGGGUACUCAAAUUGCCAGGAUCUAAUAACAGGAGAAUCUGAGUACUUGCAGGAACGGACAGAGGUAAAGAGAAGCACCUUGCCCACUUUCCUCUCUGCACUGGUUGACUGGAUAUCCCAGAUGGAGGACACAUCCCUGACGGAGGAGGAGGUAGAGCUGGCCAACCGGCAAGAGAGGUCUGCCAUUCAACUACCUCGAGCAUGGGAAAAGUCCCCCUGCAGGAACUUAUUCCGGAAGACUUUCUCCUCCUGCUAACAAAAUAGCUUCCUGAAGCUCUAUUUUAGAGUGGCUUUAGCAACAGCUGCCUCCAUCAGAAUGAAUAUUAUCAGUGACUGCUUCUCUGUGAACAAAUACUAUCUCUUUGUAAUAAGUGUGAUUAGUCUCUCUCUCCCCAUCCUCAUUCUCUAAUAAAAACUGAAUAGAAAUGUAUAGACAGAAAUAAUUUUAUGAUUGAAAUGGAGUGCAAAUAUAGAGACUGAGCAUCUUGAAAA